rnacentral:rRNA from 1 species
UACGUAGGGACCAAGCGUUGUUCGGAUUUACUGGGCGUAAAGGGCGCGUAGGCGGCUUGACAAGUCACUUGUGAAAUCUCCGGGCUUAACUCGGAACGGCCAAGUGAAACUGUCAUGCUAGAGUGCAGAAGGGGCAAUCGGAAUUCUUGGUGUAGCGGUGAAAUGCGUAGAUAUCAAGAGGAACACCUGAGGUGAAGACGGGUUGCUGGGCUGACACGUGACGCUGAGGAGCGAAAGCGUGGGGAGCGAACAGG